GUGCUACUGUAUACUAUCAAACUGUACGGUGAGCACCACAGCAGCACAACUGUGACAGUGUCCUGCAGACACGUGAGCUACUCCUACAAUUUGUGUCUAAGAAUGUUUAUAAUUCAAGGUCCCUUCAUAUAAUCUGUGCAUGUUCGCAACUGGAAUAUUCGUGAAGUCGGGGACUUACUGUUUCAGACACUGUUGGAUCUUAUCUAUAUGAACUCAGAUCUAUUAAUUAUUAAGAUGUGAUCAUUUUUCCUGAGUAACAGAGAGAAAUACCUUUCCCAGGUGAAUGAGCAAUAGAACCCAACCCUGAGCAGAGGUAGUCCAAGUCCCGAGUGCCUGUAUAUCUGCUAGGCUGUACUGGACUGCCGCUUGGUUAGGGCUGUGUCUCCAUCACCCUGGUGUCUGCCAGGUGCUCAGCCUGGGUUUAUGAAUGAAAAAUGAAUGGAUGAUUUGUGGUUGUACUGCCACUGAAGUCACAAGUUUCUGAACACUUUCUCGGGGUCCACUCCCACUACUGGGGCAGAGUCCCUUUGGAAACAGAAAUUCUUGCCAGAAAACCAGUAAUUCUCACCUGCCUCCUGAUUGAAAGAUCUACUCAACUCACCCACCACCACUUGUCUAGAAAAGGAGCACCAAAGCACUUCUUCUGGACAUUGUUCCUGCAGGUCACUGGCAGGAGUCUUAAAGCCAACAUACUGUGCUAGGAGUGUGCAAGAGAUGCAGCAGGGAAGACCUCACGGUCAGUGAAAGUGGAGAUGGCUCUGGAGCAGCUCCAGGUUCAGAGGCCAAGUCCCAGGGAAGUCUCUGGAAACGCAGCCGUGGAGUGAAUCGGAAGAGGCCACAGCUUGGUCUCUCCAUCGAGGUGUCCCCUAGCCGGGGUGGGCCUGACCCUAGGGGGAGUGAGGUCCAUAUGGAGAAUAGGGAGGGGGGCAGGAAGAGAAGCAGAAGCAGCCCUGGGCUCCCAUCGCGCUGGCGCCUCCACAUCAGAGCUGUUUAACCCACCCCCGCCUCCCCUCCUGGGGCAGCAGACAACCAAAAAAAGAUAAAAUAAAAAGAAGUAAUUCCCCUGCUCUGACGUCAGCGCGAGGUCUUAACAGCCCGGCAGC